UCUCUCAUAUCCCCUGCAUCGAAAUAUAAGAGACUAAUUGAAAGAAAGUCACCGAGAAGAGAUUCCAUGCCGUGAAUACCCAAUCACCAGAGGAAAAACGAUAUCAUACAACCAUCUUCACAUCCUAUCGGAUUUCUAAACCCAUCACAGCCGACCGACAUCCCCUGCAUCUACAUGGACGGCAGGAUUUGUUGCUCAAAACCUAAAAUUGAAUUUUAA
rnacentral:lncRNA from 1 species